rnacentral:rRNA from 1 species
CCUACGGGUGGCAGCAGUGAGGAAUAUUGGUCAAUGGACGAGAGUCUGAACCAGCCAAGUAGCGUGAAGGAUGACUGCCCUAUGGGUUGUAAACUUCUUUUAUAUGGGAAUAAAAUGUUCCACGUGUGGGAUUUUGUAUGUAACAUACGAAUAAGGAUCGGCUAACUCCGUGCCAGCAGCCGCGGUAAUACGGAGGAUCCGAGCGUUAUCCGGAUUUAUUGGGUUUAAAGGGUGCGUAGGUGGUUUGAUAAGUCAGUUGUGAAAGUUUGCGGCUCAACCGUAAAAUUGCAGUUGAAACUGUCAGUCUUGAGUACAGUAGAGGUAGGCGGAAUUCGUGGUGUAGCGGUGAAAUGCUUAGAGAUCACGAAGAACUCCGAUUGCGAAGGCAGUUCACCGGACUGCAACUGACGCUGAGGCUCGAAAGUGUGGGUAGCAAACAGGAUUAGAUACCCUUGUAGUC